UUGAGAUGUAAAAUUUGAUUAUUAGAUGGUUUACUUGAGUAUUACGAGUUGUGAGAUAUUAGUUUACACAAAGAUCUUAAAACUCAAAAGACUUGGCGGUAUCUUAGGUCCUUCUAGGGGAACCUGUCCUGUAAUCGAUAGUCCACGAUUUAUCUUUCCUUUCCUUGAAAAUACUCAGCUUGUAUACCGUCGUCGUCAGAUUACCUUUAAGAGUUAAAUAAGUUAUCAGAAAGAAUGUUAUUUUUAGCAUUUACCUUAGCUUAAUUAGUUGGGGUUGAUGUAAAAGAUAAUUUUCUAAAUGUCAGAUCAAGGUGCAGCCUAUGGAAAGGUAGAGAUGGGUUACAAUAAUUAUUUAUUAUUUACGGAUUUCUUAUUGAAAUUAUAAGAACUAAAGGCGGACUUAGAAGUAAUUAAUAAGAGAAAUAGAAAGUUUCGGUGAAAAUGGCACUAAGAUGUG
rnacentral:rRNA from 1 species